rnacentral:rRNA from 1 species
UACGUAGGGUGCGAGCGUUAAUCGGAAUUACUGGGCGUAAAGCGUGCGCAGGCGGUUUUGUAAGACAGGUGUGAAAUCCCCGGGCUUAACCUGGGAACUGCGCUUGUGACUGCAAGACUCGAGUAUGGCAGAGGGGGGUAGAAUUCCACGUGUAGCAGUGAAAUGCGUAGAGAUGUGGAGGAAUACCGAUGGCGAAGGCAGCCCCCUGGGCCAAUACUGACGCUCAUGCACGAAAGCGUGGGGAGCGAACAGG